AGCCCAUGACACUGUGGCCACCAGCAGUGCCAAGAACAGCCCCCAGCACCUCUCCCCACAGCUUUGCAUUGCCAUCUGAGGCCCCAAAAUGAAAUCAGCUGCACCCCAGGAGGCUGGAGACCCCAGGGACAAGCCCUGCCUGCUGUGCACCAUGGAGCAGAAAAACCGCGUCUGGAAAACACUGAAAUCACUGACACUGCUUCGGCUGCUGAAGAGCACAAACCGCAGGGUGCAGCGGCUGCACGCAGUUGCUGUGCACUGCUGGCGCUCGCUCACAGCACAGGGGCUGCCCGGUGUCACGUCACUGCUCCCCAGGGAAUGUCACCACCUGCCAGAGCUGGAGGAGGCUGUGGACAACGCUGAGACCAGCUCGACCAGCAGCACCACGGAUGCACCAAUGGAACCAGAGACGAGCCCACCACCAGCAGCUGCGGAAGCCAAGCAGGACUUACUGGGGACCCUUCCCCAGCGCUUCCACAUGCCGGCCCCCAAAGUGCUGUGCCGGCCUUCAGCCCAGCGCUGGGUCAAGCCCUGCUGCACCCGAUCCUGUGGAGAGAGCCUGGAGCGCACGCUCACCAUCCGCUACCCCCGGUGACCACCACCGGUAUGAGCACUGCCCUCGCUGAGCGAGGCCAUCCCCCUGAGCUCCAGCACAGCUCGUCAGCUGCUGGCUUUGCUUUCAGGGCUGCCUGAGGAGUUGGAGAAGAGCUGCCAGGAGACCUGUGGGGUGAUGCACUCGGCCUCCUGCUAUAAAUAAAGGGGGUGGCCUACGCCUUACCAACACUGACUGUCUACCUCAGAGCUGCUUUUAGUUUGGGUCUCCACUGUGUUUGUAAGGGGUUUCUGCUUGCUUUGGAUUCAGCGGAUGGAGAAUGCUGGAGGUGUCAGAGCAGCCCCUCCCCACGUGCAGGGAUAGAUAUGUGCAGAGAGGUGGAGGUCUCUCCUCCGGACACCCCAGGACAGGCUGUGCUCAUCCCCAUGGGGCUCAGACACCACCAGCCCCAUAAUGAUGCUGUCAAAGCUCCAGAAACCUCCAGCUCCCAUCUGGGCUGGAGUAACCGAAGAGUGACUCAUUGGACAAAAGCCAGGAUCAGGCUGUAGAGAUGCACAGUACCGUGUAAUCCCCUUAAGGAUAUUACAGCAAUGGGAGCUGCUGGUGCCAGAAUCAACAAAGAACGUUUUUUAGCUGGAGGUGCUAAAGUUGAAGGCUUUGAAGCCACACACACUUCAGGCUUUGUUCAACAUGAUGCACUAGGUUACCCGGGGGCCUCAAAGCACAGCCUGAGGGUGGCUGCAGCCCCACAGCAAUGGCAGCUCUCAGAGCAACACUGGGACAAGCACAGAAAAGCACCAACUGAAGAGCAAGAGCACGAGGAGAGAGCAUGAACCCAGAGCAAUACUCACACUGCCCAGGUUUCCACUGCUGGAGGGCCCUACUGCACGUUUGGGGUGACACGUGAGAGCUGCAGCCUGGUUUGACGGUGGCUUUCGGCUCUGCACAGAGCAGUGCACACUGCACAGCACACCGGGGCCAGUCCAGCAGAUGGCACUCGGAUCGCAUGGUGUUGGGGCUGCACAGCAUGGAGUUGCACAACUAGGGGUUUGUGGAAAGGGACAGGAUUGCACAAGGCUAGGAAUACUGGGAAGGGCAGGGCUGCACAGCUGAGGAUUUGUGGGAAGAAGCAGGGUUACGUGAGUCUGGGAAGCUUAGCAGAGGAUGGGGUGUGUGUGGGAUACCAGGUGCACCUUAACCCUUGAGACCCCAAAUCCCACAGUUUCCCAUGCAGCUCCACGUGCCGAGCUGCAUUUUCUCAGGCUAGGGGGGCGAGUGCUGGCAAAGGGGUGUAAUGGGGUCCGUGGGCACAGGGCGCUUCGAUGUGAGGUGCAGGCUGCAUGCAGCCAUGAGUGCUAGCAAAGGGCUGCAGUGAGAACUGGGCUGCCCAUGGGCGCUCAUUAGCGGCGGCUCGGCCUCCUUGUUAAUUAACCAUGGCCAAUUCCACUAAUUAGCUACGGCCAGAGUUGGCUGCCCUCCUCACAGAGGUGGGCGGGGAUCCUGCAGGCCAUGGGGGUAGCAGGGCUGGAGUGAGGGUAGUGGCAUGGGGCGGCAGCGGGGCACGGCUGCGUUACUUGUGCUGGGGCACCUGGCCGUGCUGCUGGCAUCGGGCACUGCCUGCGCCAACGUGUACCGAAGGGUCUCUGACUGCGUCCUGAAGCUGGGAGAGAGCAUGGCCACAUACGGGGAGGAGGACAGCAUGGAGCUGCAGGGGCUGCGCAGGGUCUGUGGGUACUGGGAUGAAUUUCACGUCUGUGCCCUGACUGCUCUCUGGGAGUGCCAGAAGGAAGCAGCAGCCAUCUGGGAGAUGCUGAGGAAGGAGUCCCGAAAGAUCAAAUUCCAAGGCAGCUUGUUUGACCUCUGCAGCCCCAGCGCAGCCCAAAGCUUUGCCUGGCCCUGCAUUCCCAAUGUGUCAGUUCUUAGCAUCCCCCUCAUCAUCACUUGGCUGAACUUAUAGACCUCAGCUCCACCUUUGAGGAACACAGGGUGCAGUACCAGCAGACUCUCAGCUCUGUCCCAUGUCUGUGAGACUCUGAAGAGUUCAGCAGCAUCUCGUGGGUUUCACUGUUUCUCUGUAAUUUGGGACAUUUGUCCCCUUUGGCCUCAGGGCACAAGCAGAGCUCUGGCUGCCUGCAGGGGAUCUGGGGGAAAAUGGGAAGUGAGUCAUGAAUACCAGAUUCUUUUUGGACCUUUCCACGGCUCUUGUAUGGAAGCCUGUUUGUUCAGCUGCCUGUUUCCACAAUGUCAGCUCUCCAGGUUUUUUAUUUGGGUGCUGAAAACUUGUGAGGUGCAGGGAUGGUGUAUGUCCUGCCAAGAUCAUAGAGGUACUGGUCUUCUUUCUAGGAGGACACACUGAAAACCCCACUAAAGAAUAGUCACAGGUGCAUGACCUCUUUCCUAACACACAUCCAGACUCCUGAGUAAUUCCUGUGUUAUGUGUAGAUCACUUUUCUAAGGAAAUGAAAAGGCAAAAAAAUCUUUGGGUGGGGGGGAGAUGAUGUCAAGCAACCAUGACAAAACCUUUCUAAGGUAACUCUUUUGCUUUGAUGUUUUUCCUAGUAGUACUUGUAAGCAGCCCUGUGGGUGACUGUGUGUAAUUUUGUAGUAUUAAAUUUAAAUUUUGUUGCAGAGAUUGAA